UACCUGCAGCUCAAGUGGUGAUCGUUAUUAUUGGGCCUAAAACGUUCGUAGCCGGUUUAGUAAAUGCCUGGGUAAAUCGUGUGGCUCAACUAUACGAAUUCCGGGUAGACUGCUAAACUUGAGACCGGGAGAAGCUAGAGGUGCUCCUGGGGUAGAGGUGAAAUUCUGUAAUCCUAGGGGGACCACCAGUGGCGAAGGCGUCUAGCUAGAACGGGUCUGACGGUGAGGAACGAAGCCCUGGGGCGCAAACCGGAUUAGAUACCCGGGUAGUCCAGGGUGUAAACGCUGCUUGCUUGAUGUUAGUCUGGCUCCGAGCCAGAUUAGUGUCGGAGAGAAGUUGUUAAGCAAGCUGCCUGGGAAGUACGGCCGCAAGACUGAAACUUAAAGGAAUUGGCGGGGAGCACAGCAACGGGUGGAGCGUGCGGUUU
rnacentral:rRNA from 1 species